AGAAGCAGUUACAGAGAGGUAACUUAUCAUUGAGCAAUUUGCCAGCAUUUGGUGACCUGUCUUUUUUAUUUUGUCUCCCUGUAGGAGUUUAAGCUGCUAAUUAAUACAUUUGCCAAUAACAUUGCUGAAGUAGUAUAUUCAUAUUUUAUAUGCUACUCUUUUUGUCUUUUUCUGUUGCAAAGGUUGAGGUCCAAGCUAACCAUAAAUUCAGCAUUAGCCAUAUUCAACUCAGGUCUGUACUGCUGUACUUCAGGCCAGUGUUAUUAUUGUUAAUUUAGGUGAGUGUCUCAUAGCAUUACUAUUUCAGCCAAACCCAAGGGACAUGGCAGAGCCGGAGCCAAAACUAAUGACCUAAAGCUUAUUAAUAGUCCUGUGAAAUUGUGCCUUUAUACCCUGAUACUGAUAGUCUAAGUGUACAAGAACAUUCAUAUUUCAAACAAUUUUUCACUGUUUUAAAUCCUUUUAUAGUUUUACCAAGUUUGUAUUACAUUUCAUUUUCACAUUGGAUUAUGUGACUGGUCAAGGAGGAUGAUCUGCAUAAUUCACGCUGGGCAGAUUUAUCAUCAGGCUCAAGAGCAAAGACAGACUGUAAUAAGAACCCUGACAAUUAUCAGUUAAUUUAAUUUUAGUGCCUUUUAAAUUCUGUUGCCUUGUCAAAGCACUUUAUACAGCAGAGAAAAUGUAUAUGGUUAAAUGGGUGGCAGUUUAAGGCCUAGCCAUCUGGAUAGGUGUUGGAAUCUAGUGGGUUGCUCUAGUGGUUGAAGUAUGGACGUACCAGCUAAUAAUGGGUCUUAUAUGGAGUAAAGAUUUGAAAACCUUGGGCUAAGUGAAGGAGCAGACUCAUAGCAAUGUAUAGAUAUAUUUAUAUGGCUGCGUAUCUUUCAUUUGUGGCUAGAAUAAAGCUGAUUGUAGAGUAUUAUAAGACAAGAUAUUUGGUUAAAACAACAUUUGCACGUUCCAGGCCAGGUUUUUACAUGAAAGAAGGGAACAUAGAGAGCAGAGCUCCAUUUGUAUACAGAAAAUUAUAUGGGUUCAGAAUGUGUUUGAAAGGGAAAUAUUGAAAUUUGCUAUGUGAAGGCUGUUUUUGACCAUGACAGCAGGCUUGGCAUGGAGGUGUAUGUGGAAGCAGGUUAAUGUAAUUCAGUCAAAAAUGUUUUCAAAUUAUAAUAGUCCUCAAUAUAAACAACACUAACAACUCUUCGAUCAGAGAUACAUAUCACACUACCCAAAGAUUAACAGUGGCUGGUAAAUUUAAGUGCAAAUAAUUGUUAGUGACUGCUGUUCAGCAUGUAAAUGGAACACUAACAAAUUGCACAUUCUAUGUUGGUGAGCAAUUUGAAAGUGGUUAAAGGUGUUAAAGCACUUACAUAGUCAUUUACUUUGCCAAAGGUGGUUCGAUACCUGAGAACUUUUUAUCUUUUUUUCUCAAACUUCAUUCUUUCACACUAUGCUUGCUUUUAGGAUGAGGGUUACUCUGUAUGGAGAUCUAAAACACUUUAAACGCAUACAUGUGUAUUGAAAUGGCCUCUGGGGGUUAAAAAGACCUAGAGAUGGAGACACCUUAAGUAAUAUAUCCUCCUAUGAAUCAUUGAAAUGUUCAUAUUGUGUAUAUCUACACUUUCUGGGAUUUCAGUUUAAAAUGAAAUUUGCAUUGUGACAAAAUCAUAAAUCAUCUCGAAGAAUAACAUUAGUUUACUCUACAGACGUUAUCCACAUCUCAACUUAAGAUUGGUAUGAAGUCUAAAAGUAACUGAUGAAAAGUGAUCUAGGUUGUGUGCAUACUGAUCCCUACUGCUUUUUGUGCAUGGCAUCCAUAGUGUACACUGUUCUUUGGUUUUACAGUCACUCAGUUUAUUGUUCCCCACGCAAUCGGGGAGGGUGCUAUGGAUAGGUUUCGGUGCAUGCAUUCAUAUAAGCAUAUCUCUGACACCAGUAGCGCCAUUUUAACCAACAUUGAGUAAAGGAUUGUUCUUGCCAUAGAGAUCUGGCAGUUUUUUCUGUCUAUAUCUACACUGAUUGACAUGGUGUUGGUGCAAUAACAAGUGACUGAUUAUGCAAACUUUACAACAUCUCACAACUUACCCCAUCUGACCUAAAGUCAUGAAAUUAGGUACACAUGUCCAUCUCCACAAGGAACUAUUCUGCCAUGAACCCAUAGCCAUGAUGUAUUUUCUGCCAUAUAAUAUUUGUGAAAACACUGAAAAUUCUACUCUGGCACCGAAUGACUGAUCUCUAUAAACAUUUACAUGAAUGUGGUCUGGACUAUAUAUAGUCUAGACCACAUAUAUAGUAUAUACAGAUCCAUCUGUCAAGGAUAUUUGCAUUGUAAUAACAUUUGGUAGUGUUGCAGACACUAUCAGGACUUAACAUAUAAACAACAUAAUGGCGCUUUAACAGCACAUUUGUCUUAUGAUCUGUUUGACUUGACUUUGGAAAUUUGGCACACAUGCUCAGGGAUGAGUCUUGUUAACCCACAUAAUGUCCAACAACAGUG
ensembl:lncRNA